rnacentral:siRNA from 1 species
ACCACAAUCUUAUCCUAAAAGCCU